UCUGUCACUCAGGCUGGAGUGCAGUAGCGUGAUCUCGGCUCACUGCAAUAUCUGCCACCCAGGUUCAAGCAAUUCUCCUGCUCAGCCUCCCGAGUAGCUGGGAUUACAGGCGCCUGCCACCACGCCCAGCUAAUUUUUGUAGUUUUUAGUAGAGGUGGAGUUUCACCAUCUUGGCCAGGCUGGUCUUGAACUCCUGACCUCGUGAUCCACUCACCUCAGCCUCCCAAAGUGCUGGGAUUAUAGGCAUGAGCCACCGGGCCUGGCUGCAAUUAUUUCUAUUUCCUUAAAAUACAAAAAGCAAAUAAACUGGUAGAAAUAACAUGAAAAAAAAGGUAGUGAGUAAAAGAUGUGAAUAUCUAGCAAAAAGGAGAGCCGCUGAAUGUCUCCACUUUGGGGAAUUCUGAGUUAAUGAGAACCCCACUGUGGCACCGAGUCCUGGGAAGGGGACUGGCUAUGGACCCGGCAGCCCUGAUCCUACCCCAGUCCUAGGCCUGGGUAGUGCUGUGGUCACUGCUUUGCCUGUAAAACUUUGCCAUUUUUUCCACCCCACAGGGUCCGAGGUCUCCUAAUCUACCUGGCCAGCUUCCCUUGUCUCAGGGGUGACAGCGUCCCAUUUUGCCUUUGUGGCAGAACAAGGAGAACCGCACCCACAGGUGAUCAAGGCUGUGGCUCAGAAGCGGCGCCAUCUGUGGCGGUCAUGGGCAGGUGGCCCCACAGGCCUGGGUCUGGGCAACACAGAUCUAACUCCAUGGAGCCGAGUGCCUGGCACACCUGGCUCAGCACUGAGGACAGAGUCCAGCCCACGAAGGCAUUUGCUGAACGAACGACCAAGUGGCGGCGACUAUUGGUGAUAACUGGGCCAACCCGAGGGCCCUUCUGAACCAUCUUCUUACAACAUGUGCUCACACCGGACUAUGGAUGGACAUCUCCAGCCUGAUUUAUUUCACCGC
rnacentral:lncRNA from 1 species